CGUACACUCCUACGGGAGGCAGCAGUAGGGAAUCUUCCACAAUGGGUGCAAACCUGAUGGAGCAAUGCCGCGUGAGUGAAGAAGGUCUUCGGAUCGUAAAGCUCUGUUGUUAGAGAAGAACACGUGCUAGGUAACUACUAGCGCCUUGACGGUAUCUAACCAGAAAGUCACGGCUAACUACGUGCCAGCAGCCGCGGUAAUACGUAGGUGACAAGCGUUGUCCGGAAUUAUUGGGCGUAAAGGGAGCGCAGGCGGUCUGUUUAGUCUAAUGUGAAAGCCCACGGCUUAACCGUGGAACGGCAUUGGAAACUGACAGACUUGAAUGUAGAAGAGGAAAAUGGAAUUCCAAGUGUAGCGGUGGAAUGCGUAGAUAUUUGGAGGAACACCAGUGGCGAAGGCGAUUUUCUGGUCUAACAUUGACGCUGAGGCUCGAAAGCGUGGGGAGCGAACAGGAUUAGAAACCCGAGUAGUCCCAUG
rnacentral:rRNA from 1 species